rnacentral:rRNA from 1 species
GAUGAACGCUGGCGGCGUGCCUAAUACAUGCAAGUCGAGCGAACAGACGAGGAGCUUGCUCCUCUGACGUUAGCGGCGGACGGGUGAGUAACACGUGGAUAACCUACCUAUAAGACUGGGAUAACUUCGGGAAACCGGAGCUAAUACCGGAUAAUAUAUUGAACCGCAUGGUUCAAUAGUGAAAGACGGUUUUGCUGUCACUUAUAGAUGGAUCCGCGCCGCAUUAGCUAGUUGGUAAGGUAACGGCUUACCAAGGCAACGAUGCGUAGCCGACCUGAGAGGGUGUUGGCCAACAGUGAAACUGACACAGGGACCAGACUCAAAGGGGGGGAGGCGAGAGGGAUCUUUCCGCAAAGGGCGAAAUCUGACGGGAGCAACGCCGGGGGAGGGAGAAAGGUCUUGUGUUCAAAAACCUUUUUUAUGAGGGAAAAAAAAAUGUUUAAUAAACUAUCCACGUCUAGAGAUAACCUACUAAAAAGGCCCGGGCAAACUAGGUC